CCUACGGGAGGCUGCAGUGGGGAAUAUUGCACAAUGGGGGAAACCCUGAUGCAGCGACGCCGCGUGAGUGAAGAAGUAAUUCGUUAUGUAAAGCUCUAUCAGCAGGGCAGAAAAUGACGGUACCUGAGUCAGAAGCCCCGGCUAACUACGUGCCAGCAGCCGCGGUAAUACGUAGGGGGCAAGCGUUAUCCGGAUUUACGGGGUGUAAAGGGAGCGUAGACGGCAGUGCAAGUCUGGAGUGAAAGGCGGGGGCUCAACCCCCGGACUGCUCUGGAAACUGUACGGCUGGAGUGCAGGAGAGGUAAGUGGAAUUCCUAGUGUAGCGGUGAAAUGCGUAGAUAUUAGGAGGAACACCAGUGGCGAAGGCGGCUUACUGGACUGUAACUGACGUUGAGGCUCGAAAGCGUGGGGAGCAAACAGGAUUAGAUACCCGAGUAGUC
rnacentral:rRNA from 1 species